rnacentral:snoRNA from 9 species
CGGAUGGGGAUGAAGCAAUAUUUAAAUAAUCCAACACUUGAUCUGAGACUUUAAUAGUCAAGUGAUGUUAACAUUAUCACUUCUGAAUCCGC